rnacentral:rRNA from 1 species
GACGAACGCUGGCGGCGUGCUUAACACAUGCAAGUCGAACGGAAAGUCCCUUCUGUUGUGGGGUGCUCGAGUGGCGAACGGGUGAGUAACACGUGAGUAACCUUCCCUUGACUUUGGGAUAACUUCAGGGAACUGGGGCUAAUACCGGAUAGGAGCUCCUGCUGCAUGGUGGGGGUUGGAAAGUUUCGGCGGUUGGGGAUGGACUCGCGGCUUAUCAUCUUGUUGGUGGGGUAGUGGCUUACCAAGGCUUUGACGGGUAGCCGGCCUGAGAGGGUGACCGGCCACAUUGGGACUGAGAUACGGCCCAGACUCCUAAGGGAGGCAGCAGUGGGGAAUAUUGCACAAUGGGCGGAAGCCUGAUGCAGCAACGCCGCGUGCGGGAUGACGGCCUUCGGGUUGUAAACCGCUUUCGCCUGUGACGAAGCGUGAGUGACGGUAAUGGGUAAAGAAGCACCGGCUAACUACGUG